UACAGAGGGGGCAAGCGUUGUUCGGAAUUACUGGGCGUAAAGGGCUCGUAGGCGGCCAACUAAGUCAGACGUGAAAUCCCCAGGCUCAACCUGGGAACUGCGUCUGAUACUGGAUGGCUUGAAUCCGGGAGAGGGAUGCAGAAUUCCAGGUGUAGCGGUGAAAUGCGUAGAUAUCGGGAGGAACACCUGAGGCGAAGGCGGGCUACUGGGCUGAUACUGACGCUGAGGCGCGAAAGCUAGGGGAGCAAACAGG
rnacentral:rRNA from 1 species